rnacentral:lncRNA from 1 species
CAAAAACUUUUGGGCUAUUUCUAAAAGCUGACUGAUAUUUAUUCUAGCAAAUCUUUCUAGUUUUUGGAGUUUCUUUUUAAUAUCCGGGGCUGCCUGAGCCACAAAUGCUAAAUUAAGAGCACGGCUAUUUUCGGGAGCUGCCGGGUCAAAAGGGGUGUAAAUCCGAUAAAAAGGGGUGUAAAUCCGAUAAGCCUCCUGGAGGUGCUCUAAAAACCUUCUUGGUGACUUCUCGGGCCUUUGGACAACUUCGGUCGUCUUAGACAAGUUGAUGGGUUUCUGAGAGGCUCUUUUAAUACUUGCGAGGAGAUACCGACAGACAAGGGGAGGGGAUCCAGCGAUGGGAUCAGUCAGAUGCCUGCCUGGCCGCUCCCCGUGAGGGGACUUGGGCUCCUCUUAGCAUUGGCAGGCCGGUAUAAACUUCCGGCUCAGAUCGAGCUAUGCCUGAUGCUGCCUUAAGCCUUAUGAGGUCGCCAUGGAACCGCAGAAACUCCUGGAGGGCAGAGCUGUGUCUGCCAUCUUCAUCAUUGCAUUACCACCACCCAGCACAGUGCCUGGCACAAAAGAGUUGCUCAAUAAAUAAAUCAGGAUGAAUGGAUAAAUACAUGGAUAGGCACUUUGAACUACAGAUGAGUUUAAAUACUUUGUGUUUUUCUUAGUCAAACAUGUGCAAUUAAGCAUGUGAUAAAUGAUAUGAUGACC